GCCGGGUGUGGUGGUGCACACCUGUAAACCCAGCAACUUAGGAGGCUGAGGCAGGAGGUUUGCAAGUUCAAGGCCAGCCUCAGCAACUUAGCAAGGCCCUGAGCAACUUAGUGAGAUCCCUGUCUCAA
rnacentral:sRNA from 1 species